CAAUCAUCAGCAAAAUCUGAGUUUUCUGUUUGGAUUUUUUUUCAAAACUUCCUAGUUAUUAUACAUUUUUAACUAUAAAACAACCACACAUAUGCAUAUUGUUCUUCUCCUUAAUAGGAAACGGAUAUAACAAAAGUUCCGGUUUCUAUAGGAAAAUUAAAAAUAAAAAUAAAUGGUAACCAA